rnacentral:rRNA from 1 species
AAUGAACGCUGGCGGCGUGCCUAAUACAUGCAAGUCGAGCGGGGCGGGGACGGGUGAGUAACACGUAGAUAACCUCCUUUAAGACUGAGAUAACGUAGGGGAACCGGAGAUAAACCCGAUACUAGGUGAUGGUUCCUCGCUGCAUUAGCUAGUUGGUAAGGUAACGGCUUACCAAGGCAACGAUGCAUAGCCGACCUGAGAGGUUGAUCGGCCACACUGGAACUGAGACACGGUCCAGACUCCUACGGGAGGCAGCAGUGGGGAAUCUUCGGCAAUGGGCGAAAGCCUGACGGAGCAAUGCCGCGUGGGUGAUGAAGGUCUUCGGAUCGUAAAACACUGUUAUUAGGGAGGCGGUACCUAAUCAGAAAGCAACGGCUAACUACGUGCCAGCCGCCGCGGUAAUUC